rnacentral:rRNA from 1 species
UACGUAGGCAGCGAGCGUUGUUCGGAGUUACUGGGCGUAAAGGGUGUGUAGGCGGUUUUCUAAGUUUGGUGUGAAAUCUCCCGGCUCAACCGGGAGGGUGCGCCGAAAACUGGGAGACUAGAGUGCGGGAUGGGAGAGUAGAAUUCCUGGUGUAGCGGUGAAAUGCGCAGAUAUCAGGAGGAACACCGGUGGCGAAGGCGGUGAUCUGGGCCGGCACUGACGCUGAGGAGCGAAAGCGUGGGGAGCAAACAGG